GCCUUCCUCAGCCUCUGAAUUUCCCUCUCAGAAUCAAACAAAUCUCUGUUAGCUGUAUCAAGCUGUGACUGCAAAUUUGUAGAAUGUGCCAGCUGAGCAUUGAGCGAAUUCUGCAGCUCCACAAUCUGAUCCUGCAUCUCCAUUAUCAUGUCAUCUCUUCUCUUCAAUUGCUGCCUCAACUUCUGUAUCACUUCUCGCUUGCUGAAGAUAUCAGAACCAGAAUCUGAGACGCAUGGUGAGUCAGAGCAAUUUGAAUGGUAUAAUGGCUUUGGAGGCAACUCAAGACGAUCAGGAGAGGAUACCCACAUAAUGCCAUUCUCCUUGGUAAAUUCUGGACCAGGAACUGUCACCAAAGGAAGAGCAACACCAGAUUCGGACAGCAUUUGGUCACUAGGCUGGUGCUUCAAAUCUGACAUGCAGUUGAAGCAACCAUCAUCAUCUUGUGUAAAGGAAAACACGUUCGAAUGCAUGUGGCAGCCUCCUGUCCUCCUUCUGUCAGACGAGUUCCCAUUCUCUUUCAGACUAUUACUGGCAUUUGCCUGUUGCUUUGAAUCAAGAGUCUGCUUCAGCUUGAAACCAAGACGAAUUGACAACGUACUUAACAAGGCACCACCUGCAAUCAG
rnacentral:misc_RNA from 1 species